UACGUAGGGACCAAGCGUUGUCCGGAAUCACUGGGCGUAAAGCGCGUGCAGGUGGAUGAGUAUGUGCCGUGUGAAAGCUCCGUGUUCAACGCGGAGAGGUCACGGUAGACAGCUCAUCUGGAGGCUCAGAGAGGGUGGUGGAAUUCCCGGUGUAGUGGUGAAAUGCGUAGAUAUCGGGAGGAACACCUGUGGCGAAGGCGGCCACCUGGCUGAGACCUGACACUGAGACGCGAAGGCGUGGGGAGCAAACAGG
rnacentral:misc_RNA from 1 species